rnacentral:lncRNA from 1 species
GCAAAAACUCGCUGCCACACUCACCCCAGAAUAGGGAGCAGCUGAACAAUCUAGUAGCUGAUAACCCAAGGACCCUCCCAGUAGGCUGCCUUCCUACCAGGCUAGCCCAGGUCCAGAUGCACCAGAUUUACAAGAUGGACCCAGAGAGUGACCUUCAGUCACUGCAAGAGCCAGAGACAAAGAGGUUGAGGGGCCAUAAAUUGAAUGGUGAGAUGCCAAAGAAGAGAGAGAGGUCUGAGCAGCCCCUGAAUUCACACUCGAUGCCACUUUCUGAACCAUGCCACUAAAUAAUAAGUUAAACAA